rnacentral:lncRNA from 1 species
UCUGCAUCUACCAUACUGGUCUUCCUUUCACCUAUACUUUCAGAAGUCUAUUUCUAUAGUCUCAAAUAACUCAAUCAAACUUUCAUCCUAUAAUGUGUAUUAGUAAUGGUUUGUCCUUCUCUGCUUCAUUAGAUAAAUUAAACAGUUUGGGAAAAUAAUUAACUGCAUUAGAAAAUGUAAACUUUUUUUUUUCUUUUUUGUUUACAGAGAGCAGAAUGCCGUUUUAAAGUCAAUUAUGCUAAAAGUCUCACAACUUGUCAAAAAUAUGAAGCUUCUGAGAUGUGGAGCAUGGAAGAGACAGCAGAAAUUCUGAUUCAUCACCAAAGUGUUUGAUACACCAAGCAUCCAGCUUCAACCAAAAGAAACGAGUGAGCUUCCAAAAAUGUUCCUUUGUAGAUAAGAUGUCGUCUACUUUCCUACCUGGGAGAGGAGCUGAAUGAGCAAGGCCAGCCUGAAUGCCUCAAACUCCUGGGGAAUUUUCUCUUGGAAGCCAGUGGCAGCUUCACAUCUUUGUGUUAAUGUGUGACCAGGAAUAUGCCAAUUUGAUUCACUGCUCUGGAAAUACAGAGAGAGAGAUGGAAUGGAGUUCAAGCAAGGAAAGUCAAGAUAGAUCAUAU